rnacentral:sRNA from 1 species
CCCAGGGCUUACGCCCUGGGCUAAAAUCUAACGCCCCUCCGGGGCU